UACGGAGGUGGCUAGCGUUGUUCGGAAUUACUGGGCGUAAAGGGCGCGUAGGCGGCUUUGCAAGCCAGAUGUGAAAUCCCCGGGCUUAACCUGGGAACUGCAUUUGGGACUGCAAGGCUGGAGUACGGCAGAGGGAGGUGGAAUUCCACGUGUAGCAGUGAAAUGCGUAGAGAUGUGGAGGAACACCGAUGGCGAAGGCAGCCUCCUGGGCUAGUACUGACGCUCAUGCACGAAAGCGUGGGGAGCAAACAGG
rnacentral:rRNA from 1 species